rnacentral:rRNA from 1 species
GAUGAACGCUAGCGGCAGGCUUAAUACAUGCAAGUCGUGGGGCAGCAUGAAUGUAGCAAUACAUUUGAUGGCGACCGGCAAACGGGUGCGGAACACGUACACAACCUUCCUAUAAGUGGGGAAUAGCCCAGAGAAAUUUGGAUUAAUACCCCGUAACAUAACGAUGUGGCAUCACAUUGUUAUCAUAGCUUCGGCGCUUAUUGAUGGGUGUGCGGCUGAUUAGAUAGUUGGCGGGGUAACGGCCCACCAAGUCUACGAUCAGUAGCUGAUGUGAGAGCAUGAUCAGCCACACGGGCACUGAGACACGGGCCCGACUCCUACGGGAGGCAGCAGUAAGGAAUAUUGGUCAAUGGACGCAAGUCUGAACCAGCCAUGCCGCGUGAAGGAUUAAGGUCCUCUGGAUUGUAAACUUCUUUUAUCUGGGACAAAAAAAGGCUUUUCUAAGUCACUUGACGGUACCAGAUGAAUAAGCACCGGCUAACUCCGUGCCAGCCGCCGCGGUAACAC